UACAGAGGGGGCGAGCGUUGUUCGGAAUCACUGGGUGUAAAGGGUGCGUAGGCGGUCAGUUAAGUCUGAUGUGAAAGCCCUCGGCUCAACCUGUGAAUGCCGCUGGAAACUGUCUGGCUAGAGUCCGGAAGGGGCGAGUGGAAUUCCUGGUGUAGCGGUGAAAUGCGCAGAUAUCAGGAGGAACACCAAUGGCGAAGGCAGCUCGCUGGAACGGUACUGACGCUGGAGGCGCGAAAGCGUGGGGGAGCGAACAGG
rnacentral:rRNA from 1 species